GCAGCCGGCAGAGGCCCCGGGCGCUGCGGCCUCUCGGUCUCAGGGCGCCUCCCGCAGGUCCUCAGUGCUUUUCCUCAGAAUGGAGCCUGCCACCUCCCUCCUCUUUUUUUGGCCAUUAUUUAUGACGCUUCUUUCCUGGGGUUUCUCUGUGCCCUCUCUGCUCAGCAGUGAGCUCCUGUGCAAAGACUAUGGGCUCCAUGUGCUGGUUCUAAUCCUGCUUCUCCAACCCUAAUAAAGUAUGGCCUGCCACCCUUUCAUCACCUGUGACACGAGGAUGACAGUCCUUCCGCAUUUAUCAGGUAAGCCUGAUAAAUGGCCACUCUGGAUAAAUGUCAGCUCCCACUCCUCCAGCUUGGUUCCCAUCCCGUCGUGCACUCCACCUGUGGUCCCAGUUUUCUUGCUUUGGCCAGUGUUCCUCCCAGGUCUAGAGUGGUCCCAUAACCUCUAGCCUAGAGGCUGGGUGGCAGUGCUCCCUGCUGCAGGGGCCAGUUCCUCCCGCUCUUCUUUCCACCUGGGCCUGUCUCCUGCCAUCCUUGUUGUUUCAUCUUGAUAGACAGAUGAAAUAUAUAUCUAGAUGAAAUCUGGAUAGAGUGUCUAUGAAGUUAUAGAUGUAAAUAUUUAUAUUUCAUAUAGAUGAAAUAUCUAUAUAUUUCAAGAUGAAGCAACAGAGACCAGCAUUUCAAAAGAGGAAAUAAAGCCAAUUAGUAAACUUGAAAAAAUAUUUGACAUUAGCAAAAAAAAAAAAAAAAGUUAAAACAACAUCCUGGUGCCAUGUUUCACCUGUCAAUUUUUAAAUAUAAAAUUAAUUUUAAUAAUUUUUAAUUGAAAAUUUUGCUAUAAAUUGCUGGUGAUCCUGUGAUGAAACUCGUUCUCUCACCUGCUUGAGAGUAUCAGGGAUGGAUUCACAGAGGGUUUGGCUUUGAAAAAAAAAUUGCGGGCCAGGCGCGGUGGCUCACACCUGUAAUCCCAGCACUUUGGGAGGUCGAGGCGGAUGGAUCACCUGAGGUUGGGAGUUUGAGACCAGCUUGCCAACAUGGAGAAACCCCGUCUCUACUAAAAAUACAAAAUUUCCUGGGCGUGGUGGCAUAUGCCUGUAAUCCCAGCUACUUGAGAGGCUGAGGCAAGAGAAUCGCUUGAACCCGGGAGGUGGAGGUUGCGGUGAGCCGAGAUUAUGCCACUGCACUCCAGCCUGGGCAACAAGAGCAAAAAACUCCAUCUCAAAGAAAAAAAAAAUUGCGACAACGUAUACUUAACAAAGAAUUGACAGUGUUAACCAUUUUCAAGUGUACAGUUUAGUGGCAUUAAGUGCAUGAAUGCUCCCCUGGCCUGGUCCUUGUCCCUGAGGGCACUGUUGUACCACUGUUCCCACCUUCCAUCUCCAGAACUUCUUCAUCUUCCCAAAUGGAAACUCCAUACCCAUUAAACAAUAACUCCUCAUUCUCUCCCCGCCCAGCACCUGGUACCCACCAUUUUAUUUCUGUUUCAGUGAAUUCAACUACUCUAGUUACCUUACGUAAGUGGAAUCAUAUAAUAUUUGUUCUUUUGCGACAGGCUUAUUUCCCUUAGCAUAAUGUCUUCAAGAUUCAUCCAUGUGGUAGCAUGUGUUAGAAUUUCCUUCCUUUUAAAGGCUGAAUAAUAUUCCAUUGUAUGAAUAUAUCACAUCUGGUUUAUCCAUGUAUCUGUCGAUGCACACUUAUGUUGCUUCUACCUUUUGAUUAUUGUGAACAAUGCUGCUAUGAACAUGGGCACACAAAUACA